GAACUUUUUUAAACAACAACAGUGCUCCAGCUUUGAAACGUUUGAAGGCCUUCUGUCAGAGGCUUGAAGAAGACAAAAAUUAUUGAGAGCUUUAUGUACACUAUCUCAUCCAUACUCACGGCAGCUCCAAUAUAGGUGAGAUGGUGAGACAGGCUUUAAAAAGCAUAGCGUCAGACAAUGUUCUCUGUCUGUAUAACAGAACGGGGAAAGAUGGGAAGAAGGUGUUGCCACCUGUGCUCCUGACAUGUUUGAAAAAAUGUGUCAGGUCUUUUCACAAACAAAAUGAAAUAGAGGUGAAGAAGCUAAAAGUAACCACCAGAACAACACCAGAAGCGGAAUGUAUUCGCCAAGUAGAAAUUUUUUUGUCCAACGCCAACACCAGGCUGAAAAGGAAACCAAAUAAAGGAAAAAGCUGACUUUUUGUUUGAUUGUUUUUAUUGAUGGAAAUAAAGAAUGUGGGUGUAAAA